rnacentral:lncRNA from 1 species
GUCUGUCUGUCUGUCUGUCUGUCUGUCUGUCUGUCUGUCUGUCUGUCUGUCUGUCUGUCUGUCUGUCUGUCUGUCUGUCUGUCUGUCUUUUAGAAAGCACCCUGGAAUUAUACUCCAACCUGUAGAGAAAGUCUUGAUAUCCUGCCUGUCUGGCAUCAGCUGACAUUUCCAUCCUGUUGCUUGACAUAAUCCUCUUCAAAACUGCACCAGCAUAAACAAAACGUUUCAGUUGUAUAACAUUAAAAAUAAACUACAAUUUACAGCAUUUUAGUACUUUUACAUUAUGUUUAUAACUUAAAAUAGGUUCCACCACAUGGUGUGAGUGAUGUUUAAGCUGAAGGUUAAACAUUGAAUGAAGAUGUGAUGACACCAUAAGUAAAGAUAAUCUAUAAAGGGACUAUAUCUUAUCUGCCAGAUCAUUGAAUCAGCACAGGAGAAAGCCAACUAGCCUCCACUUAGACACAACUUCAGGCCCUAUUCAGUCAAAACCUCUAGCCAGGUUUCUGGGAUAGGUCAAAAACAAUGCUCUCUCAUUCAUGUACUGUGUGUAAACAGUGUGAAAGAAAUUAACCCUUAUUGCAUAUUCCAGUGAUUUCAGACAUGCUUCCUAGCUAGGUUGAAAUAAUAUUGUUUGUAUUAAAUCUAGAUAAUGAAGUUUGCAGUAGUUCAAUCAGGACGGCUGGUCUGAAUGGAUCAUCACUUUCCAUUCAUCUAGUAAACUCAUAUAAUUCACAUCGCUUCCAAUCUCACUCAUCAGCACAAUGUUACCUCAUCAGCAUAAUGUUACUGCGUCAGCAUAAUGAUACCUCAUCAGCAUAGCAUGUGUUUAUAUAGUAGUGUCAUAAUGAUAUCUCAUCAGCAUAGAGGGUAUAUAUGAUAGUGUCAUAGUGUUACCUCAUCAGAAAAGCAUGUAUCUAUGUAGUAGCGUCAUAAUGAUUUAUAUAUAUAUAUUUCACCUUUAUUUAACCAGGUAGGCAAAUUGAGAACAAGUUCUCAUUUACAAUUGUGACCUGGCCAAGAUAAAGCAAAGCAGUUCGACACAUACAACAACACAGAGUUACACAUGGAGUAAAACAAACUUACAGUCAAUAAUACAGUAGAAAAAUAAGUCUAUAUACAAUGUGAGCAAAUGAGGUGAGAUAAGGGAGGUAAAGGCAAAAAAGGCCAUGGUGGCAAAGUAAAUACAAUAUAUCAAGUAAAACACUGGAAUGGUACAUUUGUAGUGGAAGAAAGUGCAAAGUAGAAAUAGAAAUAAUGGGGUGCAAAGGAGCAAAAUAAAUAAAUAAAUAAAUAAGUACAGUAGGGGAAGAGGUAGUUGUUUGGGCUAAAUUAUAGAUUGGCUAUGUACAGGUGCAGUAAUCUGUGAGCUUCUCUGACAGCUGGUGCUUAAAGCUAGUGAGGGAGAUAAGUGUUUCGAGUUUCAGAGAUUUUUGUAGUUCGUUCCAGUCAUUGGCAGCAGAGAACUGGAAGGAGAGACGGCCAAAGGAGGAAUUGGCUUUGGGGGUGACCAGAGAGAUCUGCUGGAGCGCGUGCUACAGCAACAGUCUUCCAAUGACCUUCCACCUCCCCACCACCACCAACUGAAGAUCCGAAAUCGGAUCCCCGUUCUCCCAGUGUGGGGGACGAGGGGGGGUUCGAUGCCAGCUGCCCAGCAUAGGGCAACCUGUCAUCAGCAUCUUGCUCUAAGGAGCAUUCCUCUGAGACUAGGCCUACCCCAAACUAUUCAAUAAAAUUCCAUGUUGUAUUCUGUCUCUGUUGUCAUACAGUUAAGCCUAUAAUUGAUCUAGCUGGAUUUCAAUCUGAUUUCAGUGAAUAUUCUGUACGCUAAUGUAAUUGCUUUUGUACUUUGAUGAAAUACCUGGUUGUCAAACAUGGAACAUGUCUGUUGUUAUGGGGCCAUCACAUUUCAAUAUCCCUUUUAUAGAAAAUGCCUGCUGCUCUAUGAUUUUCUGUGAAAAUGGUACCGUCUAAUAAUACUGUUAAAGGUUUACAAUAGCUCAAUGUGUCCGCUGACUUUUGAUGGUUACUAUUUCUAGCCUUAAUGCUAAAUCAUAAACAGAGGUGAAAACACAGUCGUGUUAUUAUGAAAUCAGUCAUGUGAUUAUGAAAUCAGUCUUGUUAUUAUGAAAUCAGUCUUGUUAUUAUGAAAUCAGUCAUGUGAUUAUGAAAUCAGUCAUGUGAUUAUGAAAUCAGUCUUGUUAUUAUGAAAUCAGUCAUGUGAUUAUGAAAUCAGUGGUGUUAUUAUAAAAUCAGUCACUUUAUGACAGUCACAUUGGA